rnacentral:rRNA from 1 species
UUCCGGUUGAUCCUGCCAGAGGUCACUGCUAUCGGGGUUCGAUUAAGCCAUGCGAGUCGAGAGGGUUCGGCCCUCGGCGUACUGCUCAGUAACACGCGGAUAACCUGCCCUAAGGAAGGGGAUAACCCCGGGAAACUGGGGAUAAUACCCUAUAGGUUACAGAUGCUGGAAUGCUCUGUAACCGAAAGCUCCGGCGCCUUAGGAUGGAUCUGCGGCCGAUUAGGUUGUUGUCGGGGUAACGGCCCAACAAGCCAGUAAUCGGUACGGGUUGUGGGAGCAAGAGCCCGGAGUUGGAUUCUGAGACACGAAUCCAGGCCCUACGGGGCGCAGCAGGCGCGAAAACUUUACAAUGCGGGCAACCGUGAUAAGGGAACCUCGAGUGCCUGUAUAUGCAGGCUGUCUGGGUGUCUAAAACACACCUAAAGAAAGGGCCGGGCAAGACCGGUGCCAGCCGCCGCGGUAAUACCGGCGGCUCGAGUGGUGGCCACUUUUAUUGGGCUUAAAGCGUUCGUAGCUGGGUUAUUAAGUCCCUUGGGAAAUCCGACGGCUUAACCGUCGGGCGUCUAAGGGAUACUGGUAAUCUUGGAACCGGGAGAGGUGAGGGGUACUUCGGGGGUAGGAGUGAAAUCCUGUAAUCCUCGAGGGACCACCUGUGGCGAAGGCGCCUCACCAGAACGGCUUCGACAGUGAGGGACGAAAGCUGGGGGAGCAAACCGGAUUAGAUACCCGGGUAGUCCCAGCCGUAAACGAUGUGCGUUAGGUGUAUCGGUGACCACGAGUCACCGAGGUGCCGAAAGGGAAACCGUGAAACGUACCGCCUGGGAGUACGGUCGCAAGGGCUGAACUUAAAGGAAUUGGCGGGGGGCAC